AAAUUGCAAGUUGUGUAUAUUGAAAAAAGUUAAUAAAAUAAAAUAAAUUAAUAAAAUAAGAAUAUAGUAAGUGUUGUGUGUUAAAUAAGUUAAAUAAAAUGUUAGGAUUCAGUAGGAAAAAUUUAAGAGAUUAAAGAAAGUGGAAGCAGACAAUUUAAAAAAGAAAUGCACACUUGAGGACGGACUGUUUGGAAAACAAUGAUAUUGUACUAAAUGAGCAGAUUUCAUGCAUUCCAAAAUUGUAGAAGAUUUUGGAAAAUAUGUUAGUAUAAUAAAAAUUAUAAUUUCGCUAGAUGGCCUUAUUAAAAACUUCUGCAAUAUUAUUGACAUUUCUAUAAUAUUACCUUACAACUAUGAUGGUACCCAAAAUAAAAAGGCGUUUAAGGAAUUUAAACUUUUAAACAUGGCCAUUUUCGAAGCUGUCACAUGUGAAGGAUUCAAUGAACAGGAUUACGCCAAAAAAAUUAGAAAUUGUUUCAAAUUCCCUAAGGUCAUACACUUCCGAACAAUAUCCUACAAUUAAAAAACUGGAAAGACUCAAUUUUUUCCUUUAGUUUAAGCUUUGUUUCUUCCCACGUCUUUUGAAUAAGUUUUAUGAAUUACUUUUUUAUGCAUUAUUUCUCAUUAUAAUAAGAAUAUUU